AUGAAGAGGAAGAGAGGCGAGCCUGAGCUGGAGUACGGGGCCUCGUCCGGGGUGGAUGAGAGGUCCAAAGAGAGCAGCGACAAGAUGCAGGGCCAGCUCCUAGCCGCUGCGCGCGGCGCCGACGGGGGCAAUGCCAAGUUCGCGUGGUAUGGCGCUCCAUCGGUGGAUGUGGCCGCGGCGGCGGUGGAGUACGGGUUCGGCAGGAUGAACAACCGGGUCCUUUUCCAUCGCGCGCACGGCGACGACGUCCACCUCUCGCCGCCUCGGUCUCCUUAUGCCAGUGCAAUGCUAGCAAAUGCAGAUGAGAACGGCGAGGCGCAUAUCAUGUUGUGCCGUGUUCUGUUGGGCCGGCCAGAGGCCAUCCCGGCCGGGUCCUCCAAGCUCCACCCCAGCAGUGACAAUUACGACAGUGCCAUCGACAACAUGCAGAAUCCACAGUGGUAUGUUGUUUGGGGCAAGGACAUGAACAUGAGGAUCCUCCCAGAGUACGUCGUCAGCUUCAAGUGUCCCAACCUCCAUCAGAUGCAAGGUUAG
rnacentral:rRNA from 1 species